rnacentral:rRNA from 1 species
UACAGAAGGUGCAAGCGUUAAUCGGAAUUACUGGGCGUAAAGCGUGCGCAGGCGGUUUUGUAAGACAGAGGUGAAAUCCCCGGGCUCAACCUGGGAACUGCCUUUGUGACUGCAAGGCUGGAGUGCGGCAGAGGGGGAUGGAAUUCCGCGUGUAGCAGUGAAAUGCGUAGAUAUGCGGAGGAACACCGAUGGCGAAGGCAAUCCCCUGGGCCUGCACUGACGCUCAUGCACGAAAGCGUGGGGAGCAAACAGG